rnacentral:rRNA from 1 species
UGGGGAAUAUUGCACAAUGGGCGAAAGCCUGAUGCAGCGACGCCGCGUGAGGGAUGACGGCCUUCGGGUUGUAAACCUCUUUCAGCAGGGACGAAGCGCAAGUGACGGUACCUGCAGAAGAAGCACCGGCUAACUACGUGCCAGCAGCCGCGGUAAUACGUAGGGUGCAAGCGUUGUCCGGAAUUACUGGGCGUAAAGAGUUCGUAGGCGGUUUGUCGCGUCGUUUGUGAAAACCAGCAGCUCAACUGCUGGCUUGCAGGCGAUACGGGCAGACUUGAGUACUGCAGGGGAGACUGGAAUUCCUGGUGUAGCGGUGAAAUGCGCAGAUAUCAGGAGGAGCACCGGUGGCGAAGGGGGGUCUCUGGGCAGUAACUGACGCUGAGGAACGAAAGCGUGGGUAGCGAACAGG